rnacentral:rRNA from 1 species
GCUUUACCUAUUACAUAUACCUAAAAUAAAAAAUAGGUUCGGUUGGGGCGACCAAGGGACAUAUAUCACCCUUAACUAAAAAGAUUUACAAAUCAUAAAAAUGAUCCCUACAAAAAGAUCAACGAAUCAAGC